CAGGACACAAAAGCCACCUCAUCCCACGUGAGAUGACCUUAUUGCCAACAAAAUCACAAAGCACAGGGCAAAGCGCCAGAGCACCUAUGUCUGACCAUCUUGGGCAUUCUGAAAAAAGGGUGGAUCUUCUUCCUGAAAAGAAUUCCAAUGUGAGUCAGCUGCCACUCAGAAGCCUUAUCUGAAGCAGGCUUCAAGGUCAUACAUUCCAGUGCCAAGCAGGAAAAAAAGGACACACACUACAAGAAAUAUAUUAGGGGUUAUUGCUAGAGAAACUGAAUAAGCUGUUGAACAUCCAAAUCAAUGGAGCGGAACACUGAUAAAGUAUAAUAACGUCAAAACAAAAUAUGAAUGAUCAUGCUUUCUCCCAGGCCUUCCAGAGUGACGAGGUGCAGCAAUCCUGGCCUCCAGCGUCCAGCUUCCGUCUCCAGCAGGGUCUGUCCCCUGAGCUGGCCACCUGAGUGCAGAGCAUGUCUCAUCUUAGGGAGGGCUAGAGACCCCGUGACACCAUGGCCAACCUCCUUGUCCAGUUCUCUGGGGAAAUGACAACCCGGAAGAGCGUCGUGGAAACCAUCUCCUGCCCUCUCAAGUUCACACCCCCGUUGAGAGGAUUCCUACCCACUCUCCCUUCUGUUUCAUUCAUUUCUGUGUUUAUCUUUACUUAAAGCCUUUCAUUUCCAUCAGCACAUUUUGUUGUUAU
ensembl:lncRNA